rnacentral:rRNA from 1 species
GACGAACGCUGGCGGCGUGCUUAACACAUGCAAGUCGAACGGAAAGGCCCUGCUUUUGUGGGGUGCUCGAGUGGCGAACGGGUGAGUAACACGUGAGUAACCUGCCCUUGACUUUGGGAUAAAUUCAGGAAACUGGGGCUAAUACCGGAUAGGAGCUCCUGCUGCAUGGUGGGGGUUGGAAAGUUUCGGCGGUUGGGGAUGGACUCGCGGCUUAUCAGCUUGUUGGUGGGGUAGUGGAUUACCAAGGCUUUGACGGGUAGCCGGACUGAGAGGGUGACCGGCCACAUUGGGACUGAGAUACGGCCCAGACUGCUACGGGAGGCAGCAGUGGGGAAUAGUGCACAAUGGGCGGAAGCCUGAUGCAGCAACGCCGCGUGCGGGAUGACGGCCUUCGGGUUGUAAACCGCGUUCGCCUGUGACGAAGCGUGAGUGACGGUAAUGGGUAAAGAAGCACCGGCUAACUACGUG